UUUUGAAAGGUUAAUUGUAAGUCACGUGAAAGUGCGCAGUAAACUUUACAAGUUAAUCUAUCAAAC